rnacentral:rRNA from 1 species
GAUGAACGCUGGCGGCGUGCCUAAUACAUGCAAGUCGAGCGAAUGGAUUGAGAGCUUGCUCUUAUGAAGUUAGCGGCGGACGGGUGAGUAACACGUGGGUAACCUGCCCAUAAGACUGGGAUAACUCCGGGAAACCGGGGCUAAUACCGGAUAACAUUUUGAACCGCAUGGUUCGAAAUUGAAAGGCGGCUUCGGCUGUCACUUAUGGAUGGACCCGCGUCGCAUUAGCUAGUUGGUGAGGUAACGGCUCACCAAGGCAACGAUGCGUAGCCGACCGGAGAGGGUGACCGGCCACACUGGGACUGAGACACGGCCCAGACUCCUACGGGAGGCAGCAGUAGGGAAUAUUGCACAAUGGGCGCAAGCCUGAUGCAGCAACGCCGCGUGAGUGAUGAAGGCUUUCGGGUCGUAAAACUCUGUUGUUAGGGAAGAACAAGUGCUAGUUGAAUAAGCUGGCACCUUGACGGUACCUAACCAGAAAGCCACGGCUAACUACGUGCCAGCAGCCGCCGUAA